GAUGAACGCUGGCGGCGUGCCUAAUACAUGCAAGUCGAGCGAACGGACGAGAAGCUUGCUUCUCUGAUGUUAGCGGCGGACGGGUGAGUAACACGUGGAUAACCUACCUAUAAGACUUGGAUAACUUCGGGAAACCGGAGCUAAUACCGGAUAAUAUUUUGAACCGCAUGGUUCAAAAGUGAAAGACGGUCUUUCUGUCACUUAUAGAUGGAUCCGCGCUGCAUUAGCUAGUUGGUAAGGUAACGGCUUACCAAGGCAACGAUGCAUAGCCGACCUGAGAGGGUGAUCGGCCACACUGGAACUGAGACACGGUCCAGAGUACUACGGGAGGCAGCAGUAGGGAAUAUUCCGAAAUGGGCGAAAGCAUGACGGAGCAACGCCGCGUGAGUGAUGAAGGUCUUCGGAUCGUAAAACUCUGUUAUUAGGGAAGAACAUAUGUGUAAGUAAAUGUGCACAUAUUGACGGUACCUAAUCAGAAAGCAACGGCUAACUACGUG
rnacentral:rRNA from 1 species